rnacentral:rRNA from 1 species
AACGGACGCUGGCGGCAGGCUUAACACAUGCAAGUCGAGCGCCCCGCAAGGGGAGCGGCAGACGGGUGAGUAACGCGUGGGAAUCUACCUUUUGCUACGGAAUAACGCAGGGAAACUUGUGCUAAUACCGUAUGUGCCCUUCGGGGGAAAGAUUUAUCGGCAAAGGAUGAGCCCGCGUUGGAUUAGCUAGUUGGUGGGGUAAAGGCCUACCAAGGCGACGAUCCAUAGCUGGUCUGAGAGGAUGAUCAGCCACAUUGGGACUGAGACACGGCCCAAACUCCUACGGGAGGCAGCAGUGGGGAAUAUUGGACAAUGGGCGCAAGCCUGAUCCAGCCAUGCCGCGUGAGUGAUGAAGGCCUUAGGGUUGUAAAGCUCUUUCACCGGUGAAGAUAAUGACGGUAACCGGAGAAGAAGCCCCGGCUAACUUCGUGCCAGCCGCCGCGGUAA